rnacentral:sRNA from 1 species
AGUACACCGCCAGCGAGGACUCGUGGGCCACCCUGCAC